rnacentral:rRNA from 1 species
AUGAGUAGGGCGGGACACGUGGUAUCCUGUCUGAAUAUGGGGGGACCAUCCUCCAAGGCUAAAUACUCCUGACUGACCGAUAGUGAACCAGUACCGUGAGGGAAAGGCGAAAAGAACCCCGGCGAGGGGAGUGAAAAAGAACCUGAAACCGUGUACGUACAAGCAGUGGGAGCCUCUUUAUGGGGUGACUGCGUACCUUUUGUAUAAUGGGUCAGCGACUUAUAUUCUGUAGCAAGGUUAACCGAAUAGGGGAGCCGAAGGGAAACCGAGUCUUAACUGGGCGUUAAGUUGCAGGGUAUAGACCCGAAACCCGGUGAUCUAGCCAUGGGCAGGUUGAAGGUUGGGUAACACUAACUGGAGGACCGAACCGACUAAUGUUGAAAAAUUAGCGGAUGACUUGUGGCUGGGGGUGAAAGGCCAAUCAAACCGGGAGAUAGCUGGUUCUCCCCGAAAGCUAUUUAGGUAGCGCCUCGUGAAUUCAUCUCCGGGGGUAGAGCACUGUUUCGGCAAGGGGGUCAUCCCGACUUACCAACCCGAUGCAAACUGCGAAUACCGGAGAAUGUUAUCACGGGAGACACACGGCGGGUGCUAACGUCCGUCGUGAAGAGGGAAACAACCCAGACCGCCAGCUAAGGUCCCAAAGUCAUGGUUAAGUGGGAAACGAUGUGGGAAGGCCCAGACAGCCAGGAUGUUGGCUUAGAAGCAGCCAUCAUUUAAAGAAAGCGUAAUAGCUCACUGGUCGAGUCGGCCUGCGCGGAAGAUGUAACGGGGCUAAACCAUG